rnacentral:lncRNA from 1 species
UUUAUUAUUGUUUAGUUAAAUAUAUCAAAUACGAAAAGAUUUCAUAUAUUUAAGAUCAAGUCAAUAUCAUUUCAAUAAAGACACAUAAAAAUAACUAUUAUGGUUGCACCUUUCAUAUCUAUGUAACUUCCUUUCAAAUCAAUUCGAGUAAGAGAUGGAUCCCGAAUUACAACAUAUUUAAGGUUUGAAUACAACUUCUCUAUUCUAAAUUCAAAUUUCUAUGGCUAUGUAAUUUUC